UCGGAUAUGGUGUAAUGGCUAACAUUACCGCCUCUCAUGCGGUGGCUCGGGGUUCGAUUCCCUGUGUCUGAA
rnacentral:tRNA from 1 species